ACGCUGGCGGCAGGCCUAACACAUGCAAGUCGAGCGGUAGAGAGAAGCUUGCUUCUCUUGAGAGCGGCGGACGGGUGAGUAAUGCCUAGGAAUCUGCCUGGUAGUGGGGGAUAACGUUCGGAAACGGACGCUAAUACCGCAUACGUCCUACGGGAGAAAGCAGGGGACCUUCGGGCCUUGCGCUAUCAGAUGAGCCUAGGUCGGACUAGCUAGUUGGUGAGGUAAUGGCUCACCAAGGCGACGAUCCGUAACUGGUCUGAGAGGAUGAUCAGUCACGCUGGAACUGAGACACGGUCCAGACUCCUACGGGAGGCAGCAGUGGGGAAUAUUGGACAAUGGGCGAAAGCCUGAUCCAGCCAUGCCGCGUGUGUGAAGAAGGUCUUCGGAUUGUAAAGCACUUUAAGUUGGGAGGAAGGGUUGUAGAUUAAUACUCUGCAAUUUUGACGUUACCGACAGAAUAAGCACCGGCUAACUCUGUGCCAGCAGCCGCGGUAAUACAGAGGGUGCAAGCGUUAAUCGGAAUUACUGGGCGUAAAGCGCGCGUAGGUGGUUUGUUAAGUUGGAUGUGAAAUCCCCGGGCUCAACCUGGGAACUGCAUUCAAAACUGACUGACUAGAGUAUGGUAGAGGGUGGUGGAAUUUCCUGUGUAGCGGUGAAAGGCGUAGAUAUAGGAAGGAACACCAGUGGCGAAGGCGACCACCUGGACUAAUACUGACACUGAGGUGCGAAAGCGUGGGGAGCAAAC
rnacentral:rRNA from 1 species